GAGUUAACAAAUUUCCUGAGAUAGGGAG
rnacentral:sRNA from 1 species